rnacentral:rRNA from 1 species
GAUGAACGCUGGCGGCGUGCUUAACACAUGCAAGUCGAACGGGAAACAUUUUAUUGAAGCUUCGGCAGAUUUAACUUGUUUCUAGUGGCGGACGGGUGAGUAACGCGUGGGUAACCUGCCUCACACUGGGGGAUAACAGACCGAAAGGCCUGCUAAUACCGCAUGAUACAGUUGGGUCGCAUGACUCUGACUGUCAAAGAUUUAUCGCUCUGAGAUGGCCUCGCGUCUGAUUAGCUGGUUGGCGGGGUAACGGCCCACCAAGGCGACGAUCAGUAGCCGGACUGAGAGGUUGACCGGCCACAUUGGGACUGAGACACGGCCCAG